rnacentral:rRNA from 1 species
AUUGAACGCUGGCGGCAGGCCUAACACAUGCAAGUCGGACGAGCGGAGGACGGGUGAGUAAUGUAUGGGAAACUGCCUGAUGGAGGGGGAUAACUACUGGAAACGGUAGCUAAUACCGCAUAGCAUCGGAUGUACCCAUAUGGGAUUAGCUUGUAGGUAAGGUAACGGCGUACCUAGGCGACGAUCCCUAGCUGGUCUGAGAGGAUGAACAGCCACACUGGGACUGAGACACGGCCCAGACUCCUACGGGAGGCAGCAGUGGGGAAUAUUGCACAAUGGGCGCAAGCCUGAUGCAGCCAUGCCGCGUGUAUGAAGAAGGCCUUCGGGUUGUAAAGUACUUUCAGUCGGGAGGCGUUACCGGCAGAAGAAGCACCGGCUAACUCCGUGCCAGCAGCCGCGGUAAUAC